rnacentral:lncRNA from 12 species
CUGUUCUUAGUAAGCUGAUGGAUUCCAAAGAAGCUAAUAAGAAAACAGGUCAUCUCAUUUUUUUAACACAACAAUUAAAUUAUAUUCUAACAUGUUUGGCUUCUCAUUUAAACCUCUCUGUUCUUACAGAUCUGAUGGAAGAGCUUGGUUUGGGGGAUGCUGAUGAUCUUGAAGAUGCUUCAGACUGGGACUCUGCCAGCACCACCAGUAAGGCCAGUAAGAAAUUCCCAGUUCAUAAGCUGGAUGAGGAACCCGUCUUUGAAAGCCCAGCAGCUUCCGCACUACCCAUAACAUCCGAGGAACAGGACGUGGACACCAGGGAACAUAAAAAAGCCAGUCCAGAGAUAAACAAACCCACAACCUCAAGCACAAAACCUCUACCUAGUCCACGUUCUCUCAACACACACGCCAGCUCAAAACCACAAGCACUGCCACGACUGCGCUUGGACUCCAAUCAGAGGCCGGAGAGUGAAGAAUCGGACUGGGAUUUGGAAACUUCCAGUCCAGCCAAGAUGACAAAUUCACUGCCAAAUGUCGCUGAGUCUGAUGCAGGUAAAACUCUUCAAUGUGAGGGUGAAUGUUCAGGGUUUAAUAUACUUCUCACUGUGUUUUAG